rnacentral:piRNA from 1 species
UAGAUACCAUACAGUUAAAAAAAUCGCAC